rnacentral:rRNA from 1 species
AGCGUUAUCCGUCGUGAUUGGGUGUAAAAACAGCUAGGCUGCUAAGUUAUUCGUUCCAGAAAGAAACUUCUUUAAGGUUUGUAGAACGCUUAGCUUAUGCUUGGGUUAGUUGGACGUUUGUAGAAUCGUAAGUGGAGCGGUAAAAUGCUUAGAUAAUUGCGGAAUUUCCGAAAUGUGGCAAGGCGACCUGCGACAACUAACCGACGCUGAACUGUUAAAGUAUAAGUAUCAAAGAGGAUUGGAGACCCUCGUAGUUUAUACCCUGAAUAAUGAAUGUCAAUUUUUAAAGUUAGCUAACGCAUGAACAUUCUGCCUGAAGAGUAAGGCCGCAAGGGCUAAAUUUAAAGAGAUUGGCGGGAGUUUAGAUAAAUGGUGGAAUAUGUGGUUUAAUUCGAUAAUCCGCGGGAAACCUUACCAGUGUACGGCGCCAAAUUAAGAUAACUAUGUGUCUAGUCUUAUCGAUAUUUGUUUCGUUUAGGUACUGCAUGGCUGUCAUCAGUUCGUAAUGUAGGUAUAUUUCGAACACAAUCUUUAAUAACUACUAAGUAGGUCAUAUUUACUGUGUGGUUUGAAACAUUGCAACCACCGGUUCUAUUUAUUGUAGUUUUUUCGUUUAUUUUUUAAGUGAAUUGGGAGGAGAAGUCAAGUCAUUAUGGUCUUAAUAUGCUGGGCUACACACGUAUUACAGGGCUAAAGACAAUGAAUUUCGCCUCAAAGCGGUUAUUUUCUAAAAAUUAGCUCGGUUCGAAUCGUUCUUUGAAAUUGAGGAACGUGAAGUAGGAAUCAUUAGUAAUCGCAAAUAAGAUCGCUGCGAUGAAUCUUUAUAUACUUUGCACACACCGCCCAUCAUAUUCGAAGAGUUGUCGCGGUUUAAAGAUUUACGCUCGUCUCUCUACGCUAAGUGUAUUGUAGAUUAGUUUAUCUAAAAACGUGGUG